rnacentral:ncRNA from 1 species
AAGGCGGAACCGAAAAGCCUCAACAGAGUAGGAG